rnacentral:lncRNA from 1 species
CUUCGGUCGUCCUGGUCAACAAACCAAAAAAUGCUUGAUGCCUCCAUCACUGGCAAAAACUAUUUGCUUGGCUAAAAUAGAAUCAAUAUACUCUUUUCGUGUUCGAUGGAAGAGAAAAAGAGACGAAGAUGGCAUGGAAUCAGUAAUAGGAUAAGCAAUUGGCUCAGGAUAGGGUUCAGCAAAAAAGUUAUCUGGAAUUGCAACCAAAUCUUUGAUAUUAAAAGUAAGGCUAUUACCAAAAUCAAAUGGAAAGUCAAUGGCAUAGGCAUCAGUACCAUCCUUGUGCAACACACUGAAUGGUCCAACAUUAAGAGACUGCACUUCCUUAAGGUUUCGGCUCUAAAGAAUUUAGAUUCAUGGACGUGCCCCGAAUGUUAGGGCGCCUCACAAACAUGGACUUGGAGACCUGCUCAUAGUUCAUUACGAAUGUAUAGGCCUGAUCUAAUGUGGACACCUCUCGAACGACAAAUUCCUUCCUAAGUUUAUCAUUAAGACCUCUACAGAACCGACUCAGGACCAUUCUCUCAUCCUCAAUCAUAUUACAUCGCAUUAUGUAUUUAUCAAAUUGUGAGAUGUAGUCAAUGGCUGAUUGGGUACCUUGUCGUAAAUUGUUCCAUCGGUUAAGAAGAUCGUCUUGGUAGCUGAGGGGCAAGUAUUUUUAUUUAAGUUUUUUCUUCAUUUCUAUCCAAUCAGUUAUGGCAGGCUGACGUCUCCUAGCCAGAAGCUGUUCAGUAUUUUGCCAGAAAAGCUUAGCUCGACCAAUGAGCUUCAUUCUGGCAAAUCGGACCUUCUUUUCAUCAGAAAAGUUGUAGCACUCAAAGAAGUGGUCCAUUUCGUGUAGCCAGUCUGAGAAAACCUUUAGGUCAAGGCGACCAUCACAGGUGGGUGUUUCAACCCUAAUGCUUUAAGCACAUCCUUAUCAUGAUUAUGGGACUCUCUAGGUUCUACGUUGUAUCGAUAACCCCUAUUGACAUUAGAAAAAGAACCCUGUCCUCUAUGACCAGGGUAGGUUUGAAGACAGCCCGAAAAAGAGCUAGUGUUGAAUUGACCUUGUCAGGCUGACCCUAGAUGGUCUAGGGUUUCAUCCUUGACCUCUGGGCUGUCCAAAUGGGAGGCACUACCUUUUUUGGAUUCCAUAAUCCUUGGAAUGCAUGACGACACUACGAAGGUGCAUAUACCGAGGGUGCUAAAUUAUGCUUGGCUCUACAAUGCUAAGACAGUAGUGAUUCUUAGGCAAACCUAAUGCAUGAAAUCAACUUAGAAUUACGUAAUAAAUCCAGACAAGUAAUUGUAGUCAAAUAGUACUAGUUAUUUAGUGUAUUGCAGGGCUGCACAAAGCCUCGAAGAACUUCCAAAGAUUGGGUACCCUACAAUUAAUAGCAAAGAUAGGCCACUAUUAGGGUUUUGGUAUUGUCUGGAGUGGGUGUGUUGAAGUUUUCAGGACGCAAUAUCAAUAGAGUACUUAAGAGUUAAUUGAUGCUAAAUUUAGACAAUAAAUAGAUUUUUCAAAAAUAGGAGGGGAAGAAACCUGACCUGGGUUGGGGCGACGAUCCGUGGCGCAGUCGUGGUAAUGAGGCUCAGCAAGGGUCCCUAACUCGGGAUCAAUCCCUGCAAUUUGGUGGGCCCAGUCAAGUUGGAUCUGAUCACAGCAACUGGUGUAGUCUGAUUGGCCUGUGAGCAAAAGAGGAGGAGGAGGUGUUGUGUGCCGCUGCAAAAGGGCCUGCUAGACCUGAUUUUUUUUUGGGGGGGGGGAUGGUGUAGGCAUAUAGAAGAAAGGGCCUGUUGGGCCUUUGAGGUGAAGAAGGGGUGGAGAGGUGGUGGAUUGGGCCUGUGUAGGGGCGAGGCGUGUGGACUGGGCCUGUGAAACGGGCGGGAUGGAGUGGGGAAAAAGGUGGGCCUGAUGAAAGGAUCGGUCCGUGAGAAGGGAGGGUGAGUUGUGGUGUGAAAAGGGGAGAAAGAGGAAGUGGAGGUGAUUGGGGGUGAGGGGCAGUGGGUUCGGGCGGCGGGUGACAGUGGUGAUGGAUGAGGUGGAUGCGAC